GAUGAACGCUGGCGGCGUGCCUAAUACAUGCAAGUCGAGCGAACGGACGAGAAGCUUGCUUCUCUGAUGUUAGCGGCGGACGGGUGAGUAACACGUGGAUAACCUACCUAUAAGACUGGGGUAACUUCGGGAAACCGGAGCUAAUACCGGAUAAUAUUUUGAACCGCAUGGUUCAAAAGUGAAAGACGGUCUUGCUGUCACUUAUAGAUGGAUCCGCGCUGCAUUAGCUAGUUGGUAAGGUAACGGCUUACCAAGGCAACGAUGCAUAGCCGACCUGAGAGGGUGAUCGGCCACACUGGAACUGAGACACGGUCCAGACUCCUACGGGAGGCAGCAGUAGGGAAUCUUGCGAAAUGGGCGAAAGCCUGACGGAGCAACGCCGCGUGAGUGAUGAAGGUCUUCGGAUCGUAAAACUCUGUUAUUAGGGAAGAACAUAUGUGUAAGUAACUGUGCACAUCUUGACGGUACCUAAUCAGAAAGCCACGGCUAACUACGUG
rnacentral:rRNA from 1 species